CACUACACCCAUAUCACCCUGCAGCCUAAGACUGGUUACUCACUAAAGCUUAGCAGGACUGAGCCUGGUCAAUACUUGGAUGGGAGACCACAUCGGAAAAACUAGGUUGUCAAGUGGUGU
ensembl:rRNA 5S_rRNA 5S ribosomal RNA